rnacentral:rRNA from 1 species
GCCAAAUAACUACGAGUAAAGACUUAAAAUUUAAAAGACUUGACGGUACCUCACAACACCCUAGAGGAGCCUGUCCAAUAACCGAUACUCCACGAUUAACCCAACCCCACCUUGCCAACAGUCUAUAUACCGCCGUCGCCAGCCUACCUUAUGAAAGAAACAAAGUAAGCAAAAUAGCCACACACUAACACGACAGGUCGAGGUGUAACUUAUGGGGGGGACAAAGAUGGGCUACAUUUUCUAACACAGAACACACGAAUAAACUAUGAAAAAGAAACUGAAGGCGGAUUUAGCAGUACACAAAGAACAUAAUACUUAGUCGAAACCAACG